AUGAGGCUCGCUACUCCUCUUCUGGGACUGGUCAUGCUCUGGAACUCUGUGUUCAGUCAGGAUAUUGUCCUGACGCAGAGUCCAGUCUCCUUGCCCGUCUCUCUUGGGGACUCAGCCACUAUCAAGUGCAAGUCAAGUGAGAACCUUCCAGAAGAUGAGGAUGGAGACAUCUUUUUACACUGGUACCAGCAGAAGCCAGGCCAGGCUCCACGGCUACUGAUCUAUACAGUUUCUAACCGGGAAACUGGGGUCCCAGACAGGUUCAUUGGCAGUGGGUCGGGAACAGAUUACAUGCUUAAGAUCAACAGAGUAGAGGCUGAAGAUGCUGCAGUUUAUUACUGCCAGCAAAAUGAAAGAUCCCCUCCCACAGUGGUAUAUCCUUGUACAUAA